rnacentral:rRNA from 1 species
UACGAAGGGGGCGAGCGUUGUUCGGAUUUACUGGGCGUAAAGGGCGCGCAGGCGGCCGGCCAAGUCAGGCGUGAAAGCCCCGGGCUUAACCUGGGAAUUGCGUCUGAGACUGGAAGGCUUGAAUCCGGGAGAGGGAUGUGGAAUUCCAGGUGUAGCGGUGAAAUGCGUAGAUAUCAGGAGGAACACCGGUGGCGAAGGCGGGUCUCUGGGCCGAUACUGACGCUGGAGGAGCGAAAGCAUGGGGAGCAAACAGG